rnacentral:lncRNA from 1 species
UUCAAGCAUGGUAUAAACCUCUCUCGAAUGAAUCUCAACAAUCUUAUCAUUAUCCCCUAACCCAAUAGAUGUAAUCAAUUCCAAUGAAUCUUCCAGUCCAUUUUCUUCAUAAACACCCAAAAUCCUCUCAUCAUCUUGCAAUGUACCUAACUUGCGUAAUUCUUCUUCAAUAUUAUAUAAUCUUUUUCUUUCUUUUCUUUUAAAAUCAUCAACUUUCUUAUACAUAAUAUUUCCAUUCUCCAAUACACCAAUAAAACUCGC